rnacentral:rRNA from 1 species
UGCGAAGGGGGCUAGCGUUGCUCGGAAUCACUGGGCGUAAAGCGCACGUAGGCGGACUCUUAAGUCGGUGGUGAAAUCCUGGAGCUCAACUCCAGAACUGCCUUCGAUACUGGGAGUCUUAGAGUCCGGGAGAGGUGAGUGGAACUGCGAGUGUAGAGGUGAAAUUCGUAGAUAUUCGCAAGAACACCAGUGGCGAAGGCGGCUCACUGGCCCGGUACUGACGCUGAGGUGCGAAAGCGUGGGGAGCGAACAGG